UGUUAAAAAUUUCACUAAUUGUAUUGUUAAAAACUAGUAUGACUUGCAAAAUAAUGAUAUAGUGACAUGUGGCAUAUCAUGUGUAUCUCAUGCUGAUUUAUAGGAACUAAUUUUUAACACUAGAAAUUGAUGGAAUUUUUAACA
rfam:Gossypium raimondii Chr09_contig_1300, whole genome shotgun sequence.